rnacentral:rRNA from 1 species
AACGAACGCUGGCGGCAGGCUUAACACAUGCAAGUCGAGCGAAUGGAUUAAGAGCUUGCUCUUAUGAAGUUAGCGGCGGACGGGUGAGUAACACGUGGGUAACCUGCCCAUAAGACUGGGAUAACUCCGGGAAACCGGGGCUAAUACCGGAUAACAUUUUGAACCGCAUGGUUCGAAAUUGAAAGGCGGCUUCGGCUGUCACUUAUGGAUGGACCCGCGUCGCAUUAGCUAGUUGGUGAGGUAACGGCUCACCAAGGCAACGAUGCGUAGCCGACCGGAGAGGGUGAUCGGCAACACUGGGACUGAGACACGGCCCAGACUCCUACGGGAGGCAGCAGUAGGGAAUCUUCCGCAAUGGACGAAAGUCUGACGGAGCAACGCCGCGUGAGUGAUGAAGGCUUUCGGGUCGUAAAACUCUGUUGUUAGGGAAGAACAAGUGCUAGUUGAAUAAGCUGGCACCUUGACGGUACCUAACCAGAAAGCCACGGCUAACUACGUGCCAGCAGCCGCCGUAA